GAAUGGGGGCCGCUUCGAGGGGGCCCGGUGCCCCUCCUCCCGUGGGCGGAGCUUUGUGGAGUCACAAAGCCUGGAUUCCGGUUCUAACUGCUGCUUAUUACCCGUGGGGUCCUGAGCCAGGCGGUGAACCUCCCUGGGCCUCAGUUUCCCCGUUUGUAAAACGAAGGGCGAAGACCCAUGAAGUGCUCGUCCAGACGCCUGACCCUGCCCUCCUUUCCCCUUCUUCCCCGCCUGCCCCAGGACCAGGCGGCCAGGUCUGAUGACAUCUUGAGAGGCAGAAACGACUUCAUCCGAACCAGAUGACAGUCCUGAGGGCAUCCCCACGUCUAGUGCCCCGGCUCCCCUGUGCUUCGGCCUUCAGCCGUCAACUCCAGAAGCCUUCUGGGACCUGAAGGAAUGGACCGAGAAAUUCCUCAGAGGCCAAAGACUCCUCCAGCCCUCCAGGAAUUCUCUGCGUUCCUCGAGCUGCCUCCUCCCUCUCCUCUCCAGUCCUAUGAAGCAUGAGGUCAUCAGGUCAGAAGAGGCUGAGGCUGAACUGGGUUCCCCUCGCCCGAGGCAGCUUAUGGCCCAGGGGCUCGCCACACUGGCCCGGGACUUCUCCCGAUGGCUCACCCUCCAAGCAGCAGGAACUAAAGGUCUACACCACCAUGGCCAGCUCAGGUACGCUGGCCUAAAGAGUCUUUUGUCCACCGUUUCCAAUUCUCUGUUAAUAUUGAUUGUUUGUUGGCUUUUGUUUCCUGCAUGUGUUUGACGUCCACCAAGUUUACUCGGGUUUGUGUCUGAGCGUCCCGUGGCCAGUCUUCGUCUUGCGACCAGAUUUCUACUCGGGAAUUCCAGUGUGAAGAAGACGGGACUCUGGCGCUCUUGAGAGGAGCUCUUCCCCAGGAGCGUCAGUCAGGUAGUGGAGACUACACGGGGCCUCGCCUGGAGUCUUGCAGCGACCACCUGCCACCCCUUGGGCCGAUCUCUUGGGCCCGGCGCCCUGGGCGUCCGCUUGCUGGACCGAUCAAACGAGGCUUUGACAAGGCGAGCGGUAGGCCAUGGUUAACAUUCUGUGAGAAGCCUGUCGCCCCGGGAAAGACCACAACAGCGGUGAGGUCCCCCUCUCCCGGGCUGCAGACCCUGCCAGGGACCAGAGGAGAGCCUCCACUCAAUAGCUCCAACAUGGCGGGCAUCCGUUUCCUCAGAGUACGCAGAUCACUAGGGAGUCUCAGAGAUGAGAUUCGAACUCUUGUUUUGAAGGCUCCAAACACAGAGCUCUUUGUGCCAAAGCCACUGUCCCUCCCCCAGCACCGAAGUUAUUGAAAAACAAUUUGUGUUUGAUAGCCAAUAGGACAAGCUUUUAUUGAGUGCCUGCUCUGUGGCAGGUACCAUGCUCACCCUGGGGAGAUACAAGGGGGGGAAAGGCUCCUUUAUCUUAGGGAGAUGACAGUCUGUUUUGGGGGUGUUUUUAACCCUUUCUGUUUUAGUAACAACUCCAAUUCCAAAGGACAAGGGCUAGGCAAACAGGGUUAAGUGACUUGCCCAGAGUCAUACAGCUAAGAAAUGUCUGAAUCCAGAUUUGAACCCAGGCCCUCCUAACUCCAGGCCUGUGCUACCCAGCUAUCCAGACAACAUUCUUUUUUUUUUUAAAGAAAUGUUUCUUUUUGCAUUACUCUCCCAGGGAGCCACCCCUCACAACAAAGAAUUAAAAAGAUAGAAAAGAAUUCAGCAAAACUAAUGAAGAAAGGGGCCGCUGGGUAGCUUGAGAACCAGACCUAGAGACGGGAGGUCCUGGGUUCAAAUGUGGCCUUAGACACUUCCCAGCUGGGUGACCCUGGGCAAGUCCCUUCACCUCCAUGGCCUAGCCCUGACCGCUCUUCUGCCUGGGGACUGACACGGUAUUGACUCUAAGACAGCUGGUGAGGGUUUAAGAAAACCCAACUAAUGAAGCCGCCGUAGCAGGCCCAGAAAGUCGGGCCCUUGUGACUGGGCGUCUUGGCCAGGCUUGACAGCAGCAGAGAGCGUUCUCCCUGGGAUUACCCAGAAGGCCCCUCCACGUGAUUCCUGGGAGAGGAUGCGAGACAGCACGCAGUGCUAGACCGGGGCUGACAACCUACUUCUUUUUGAGGCCGUCUCUCUCCAGAAUCCCAGAGGACGGCCGCCCCGCUUCCCUUUCUGUCUGGGAGCCUCCCCGUGCUGCCGACGGUCACCAGCGAACGCCAGAAAAAGCUCGUCCUUUCCUGCUGCGACUCUUGGCGGGGCUGAAUGUCCCCAAUACUUCCCUUGCUGGAGCCGAUUCUGGUUUCCUUCCCGAGCAUCUCGCUGCCUGUUUCAUACCCAGCCUGGCAUUCAGGGAAGGCUCUCCAUGGGGGGAGGGGGGCUGCCAUCACUGACAUUUGACAGUUCAGGAAAUGGAACGGUCACGUGACUCACCCAGCUAGAGGGUCACAUGAGGGAGGGGGUGGGGCUGAGCCGCCAUCUUUCAGGCUCAGGGCCUGCCCUCUCCUCACGGAGCUCCUCGGCCUCAACCAUGGCAGCCUUCACCUGCCUGCCCAGCGGCUCCCCACGCAGGUGGCCCACCUCUUUUUGGUUCCUAAUAUAACCCUCUGCCACCUCGUAGAAGAAAGAAUGUUUUUUUUAAUAGCAAAAAUAGCACAAUGAACUGAUUCAUUCCCCACUGCUGCCCGGAAGAGGGAAGGACGCUUUCUCAUGUCUUCCCCAGGGCCGCGUUUGCUCCUCUGUUUCAUGGAUGAUAUUCUUCCUAUCGCCUCUCCUCCGUAAUGGAGCCACAGGCGCUCGAAGGCAGCCAAGGGCCCCCCUAUUUUUCAGGAGAAGGAAGGGAGCCCCCCACCCCGGAAGUGAUUCACUGAGGCCACACACUCGGGGAGUCCUCUGCAGCCCCUGCUGGGUCGGCCGUUGAGUUCUUCAGGCACUUGUGUUCCGUGACGUGUUUAAAAUGCUGUUGUGACGAGUUCUGUCUGUGUUCUGUCUCCCCUCGCCAGGCCCGCCCCAGAGGAUGCCACGGCAGCAGCCCCCGGUCCGCCCUCGCGCCCAGCCGGCCUGGUGUGGCAGCUGGUGUUGUGAAUCAGGCCGUCGCCAGUCUGAGAACGGCUACUUCACAACACCAGGGUCACCCCCUGCCAAUGCCAUCGACCCGGGCCCCGACGAUGACCCGCAGCGAGGACCGAGCUCCCGAGAACACCUGCUUCCAGGCCUCCGUGCCCUCUGCAAGGACGGGCGAGCGCCCCCCCAAGCCACAGAGCUGUCCUCCUUUAACCUUCCAUGGUGCAGGAACGACAGAAAUUACUGCCCUCAUUCUACAGACGAGAAAAAUUACCCAGGCCACUCUAGCUACGCCCAGCACUCUUCCCCACAUUAAUCAACCAAUAGGCAUUUAUUAGGUGCCUGCUGUGUGCUUGGCACCAUGAAACCUGGUAGAAGACUCUUCAGGAGAGACCUACACUAGAGAUGAAUGUGAAUUUCUGGGCUUAGGGAAUGUGGAGAGUAGGGGAAGGAGAGAAGCCUGCCUCUUCUGAAUGGAGCCGCCAUCUUGAAAGGCAAAGGAGCAUUUGGAUAGUAAGAUGGAUCCAGGUAAAUAGCCCAGAAUAGAUGUGGGGAGAAAGCAGUGCUGUCUGCACUCGGGAAGAAGCACCAGAGGAUGGGGAGACUCUUGGGUGGUCUUGAGAACUGGACCCUUCAUGGAGGAGCAGGGGAUCUGCUGCCCAGAAUCAGUCCAUGGAAAUCACAAGUAGAGCAAGAAACUCAGAGCAAGAUGGGAAUGCUACCAGGAGAUGGCUGAAGGAGCAGUCGUUUGGCCAAGGUCAGCUUUCCCUACCACAUCCAUAAAGGUUAACAUAAGCAAGAAGAAGGCCAAUGGAGGCUGAUGCUCAAGGGUAUUCAAUGACUCUUUGUUGCCACAAGAGCAAAACAGCAUGGUCCAAGGGAUUCAGACCAGCCUCUCCAGACCUCAGUGUCUUCUGAGCCAGAUGACCCAAGAUCUCUUCCCCCUCUAUGGUCCUUCCAAUUCCAUUCAACGAGGAUCAAUUUGUGCCCUUACUCUGUGCCUGGCUCUGGGUUCCCUUCUGUACAGGCUCUCUCAAGUCUGAGCCUAACCUUUCUUUCCAACCUUAUUCCAUUCCCUGCACGUACUUUCUACGCUAGGCUAUCUGGACUACUCAUUUUCCCUACCAUCUCCGAACCCCCGGUGCCUUCUUGCCUCUUAUGCCCAAGAUGUCUACCUUUUUGAUUUAUGGCAUUAUUAGCUGCAAAUCUUGUACAUAGAACUUGGGUCAGGCUACUAGUGGAAAGAGUAUGGGGCCAGAGGUCAAGAAGAGUUCAAAUCUAGCCUCAGACACAUCCUCUUGGGCAAGUCACUUAACCUGUCUGCCUUGGUUUCUUGAACUGUAAAAUGGGAAUAAUGAAAGAUAGGCAUACUCUCUUCUGGAAGCCUUGACUACCCUGAAAAGUAGAUGGCUGCUACCCACUUCUAGCAGGUGAUGAACUAAGCUUGCAGAGGCAAACACUUUUUGUCUACAGCAAAUGUGAGACUUUAUUGCAUAAUUGUCUUGAGUUUCUCCCUGCCCUCCAAGUUUGAGGAGAAAGUGAGAAAAGAAUAGAUUAGGGGGAUUCUCAUUUUCAUCAUAAUUGAGGAAAUGAGCUUUAACUCACCCUCCCUGUUGAAGGAAACCAAAGAAAUCAUCUGGGCCAACUCUCAAACUCUUACAGGAACCAAGACCCAAGUUAGUGGCAAAGCCAGAUUGACCUAGUGCAGGGAAAUGAUAGCUGAGUAGUUAGAGCACCAGGCCUAGAGAUGGGAGGUCCUGGGUUCAAAUGUGGCCUCAGACACUUCCUAGCUGGGUGACCCUGGGCAAGUCACUUAACCCCAUUUGCCUAGCCCUGGCCUUCUGUCAGAGUUGUUACUAAGUAAAGGUGGUUGUUUUUUUUAAAUAGUAUCAGCUGAGCCCACCUCAGUAAAUGUCUCUGCCUCCUCUCUGGCCAGCCUGGCCCAAGGCUGGCGGACUUCACUCUGCCCCCCAGAGAGUACCAGCAUCUCUCCUCUCCUCCUUUCCUGAUAUUUGAACUUGGUAUAAGGUGAUUAAACAAUUAAAAUCAAGAAUCUCCAGAGCUCCCAAUCACCUAAGGGAUAAAGGUUCCUCGGCCACACCAGGGUCCAGCCUGUCUUUCUACGUAUUUCUUGUUUCUUCCCUUCUGUGUUUCUGUGGAAGUGGCCUUUCUCCCCACACUUUGUGUGUCUCCCGGGCCACGUCGAGUUCAUUGUUGCAUUUAAUCCUCAUAACAACGAUGGCCGUUGGUGUUAUUGUCCUCAUUUGACAGUUGAAGAAAUUGAGGCAGACUAUAAGGCUAAGUGACUUUCUCGGGCUCACAGCUAGGAAAUAGUUAAGGCUACAUUUGAACUCGGGUCUUCCAGAGGUCUUGCCUGCCAUCAUCCUCCCAGUUACUCAUGUUUUCUUCCGCACAGAGCAUGAAAUACUUUGCAUUUAUUUUGUAUUUAUUUAUUCAGACUCUAGGCAUUUCCCCUUGUAGAAGAUAACCUUCCUGAGGGUGGAAAGUUUUCAAGGAUUUGGGGGGCUCUUUUGUCUUUGGUAGCCCAGUGUCUGGCCCCCAAUAGAUGAUUAAGAAAUAAUUGUUGAAUCAAAUGGAAGCAUCUGGGUAACCAGUUUCCUCUUUCUUGGCCUCAGUUUCUUUCUCUAUAAAAUAAGGGAGGCCGUGUGUUCCCCUGGAAAGAAUCCUGGUUCUGACAUCAAGGAACCUCAUUCAAAUCCCAUUUUUUACACUGGGCCUCAGUUUCCUCAUCUGUAAAAUAAGGGUUAGAUUAGGUGGCCUCUGCAGUUCUUUUCAGGUCUGGAAUUCCAGCUCUCUAAGAUGGCCCGUGAGUACAUAAAUCUCAGUGGAACACCUUCCAAUUAAAAACCUCUUUUCCUAGGGGCCUUCAGCAAGAAGGAAAUUCAGUUCCCCAGGACUGCUGCUGGAUAGGUCCUAGCUGUGAAAAGCAGAGGCUAAAGUGUCAGAGCCCGGAAGGGCCUGUGAUGAUAGAAGGGUGGUCCUCGGUCCCAUGCCUCAGUUUCCUGAACUGUAACAUGUCAUCGCUCAAGCAUCUCCCUGAAGGCUACCAUGAGGCUCAGGCACGGUGCCUCUAAAGCUCUGUAUACGUGUGAGUUGGUAUUGUUGAGCAGAGGCAGAUCAAAGCCAGAGAUGCUCCAAAGCCAGAUUUGGCCCCUGGAUUCGGCCUUCUCAGCGACUGAACUUGCUCAAAGCCACUGACCAGCCCAAGGGGGACACCGUGAGGCUUUCUACUCUUCCCCUUGCUUUUGGCCCCCUCCCUCCGGUUAGGGGGCGAGGUGGACCUGGAAUCAAGAAGGCCUUCAUUCGGAUCCUGCCUCAGGGGCUUCCAGGCCAAAUCCCUUCCCUUCGCCUUCAAAAUGGGCUAAAACAUAUAUUCUAAUGGGUAUAAUAGUAGUGCCUUCCGUCAUCACAGGGUUAUAGAGAGGGUCAGAUGAGGCAACAUAAGCCAGUGUCCAUGGCAGCUACUACUAUUAAAGUGACCUUUUAUCUACAUUCUGAAUGAGCUUGUAUGUGACCUCUGAUCCUCCGUGAGAAUGUAAACUCCUUGAGAGCCAGGACCAGUUCGCUAUGGUCUUGGAAUACCCAGAGCCUUGUACACAGUAUUUAAUAAAUGCUUUCUCGAUCA